rfam:TPA: Bos taurus chromosome 14, whole genome shotgun sequence.
GCCCAAGUAGCUCAACUGGCAGAGCAUCAGACUUUUAAUAUGAAGGCCCAGAGUUCAAGUCCCUGUCCAGGUG